GGCCGCCUGGCGAAAUGGCAUCGCGUCUGACUACGAUGCUGUAAUCAGGAGAUUGCAGGUUCGACCCCUGCGGUGGUCA
rnacentral:tRNA from 1 species